GAUGAACGCUGGCGGCGUGCCUAAUACAUGCGAGUCGAGCGAACAGACGAGGAGCUUGCUCCUCUGACGUUAGCGGCGGACGGGUGAGUAACACGUGGAUAACCUACCUAUAAGACUGGGAUAACUUCGGGAAACCGGAGCUAAUACCGGAUAAUAUAUUGAACCGCAUGGUUCAAUAGUGAAAGACGGUUUUGCUGUCACUUAUAGAUGGAUCCGCGCCGCAUUAGCUAGUUGGUAAGGUAACGGCUUACCAAGGCAACGAUGCGUAGCCGACCUGAGAGGGUGAUCGGCCACACUGGAACUGAGACACGGUCCAGACUCCUACGGGAGGCAGCAGUAGGGAAUCUUCCGCAAUGGGCGAAAGCCUGACGGAGCAACGCCGCGUGAGUGAUGAAGGACUUCGGAUCGUAAAACUCUGUUAUUAGGGAAGAACAAAUGUGUAAGUAACUAUGCACGUCUUGACGGUACCUAAUCAGAAAGCCACGGCUAACUACGUG
rnacentral:rRNA from 1 species